rnacentral:lncRNA from 1 species
UGGGGGCUUGGUCGUGGGAGGACGGGGGCGGUCGCGGUCGGCGGGGGAGAGACGAUGUGGGCGGGGCGGCGGCGGCGGAAGCAGGGGAGGACGGCGGGGGCGGGGGCGGGGGCGUCUCCGGGGAGUCAGGCCCUCCGAGGAGGCUUCCUCUGGGCGGAAAGACCAAGGAGACUCCGCGGGGGAUCCCCCCUCUUCACCCCGACCGGGGACCGGCUCGCGGUUGCACGGGCCCCGGCCCAAGGUGCGGUUGCUAUAGCAACCAGCCGGGGUGACCGAGUGGUCCAGGGUGAAGGCGCCCGGCACAGCCCCUUCCCGGCCAGGCCCAGGCAUGCCCGUCCCUGCAAGGCAGACACCUCGAUGGGACCCUACCUCCCUGCAGCCUCGCGGUGGAACAGCUGUUUGACGCAUUCAGAAGAAAGGAUGACAGCCCUACAGAGGAACACGAUGUGAAUGGAAGAGACCUGUCAUU